rnacentral:snRNA from 1 species
GGAUGUGAGUAUCACCUGGAUGAUAUAUCUAUCAUUCCUUUGAUUAUCAGAAUCUAUAAUGCAAUUGAUCACCAGGGUUGAUUCUGGUUAUCUGGUUGGCUAGGUGAGUGUCCACUUUCUCCCUCACUACUUUAUGUGUCUUCCUACUAAAUCUGUUCUCUUAGUUAAAGAGGAUGACCUUUCUGAAACAGAGAUAAUUCUUUUGGAGAGUACAUGAGUAAUCCCAGUCCUUUGCUAAAACCUUCAAACAAGCUCUCAGAUAGCACCUUAAUGACUAUGAUUUAGUCCUCCUACAUAUCUUGGCUGUAGAGAGAAUAUGCUA